CCUACGGGGGGCAGCAGUGGGGAAUAUUGGACAAUGGGGGGAACCCUGAUCCAGCCAUGCCGCGUGUGUGAAGAAGGCCCUCGGGUUGUAAAGCACUUUCAGUGAGGAAGAACGCCUGGUGGUUAAUACCCAUCAGGAAAGACAUCACUCACAGAAGAAGCACCGGCUAACUCCGUGCCAGCAGCCGCGGUAAUACGGAGGGUGCGAGCGUUAAUCGGAAUUACUGGGCGUAAAGCGCGCGUAGGUGGCUUGAUAAGCCGGUUGUGAAAGCCCCGGGCUCAACCUGGGAACGGCAUCCGGAGCUGUCAAGCUAGAGUGCAGGAGAGGAAGGUAGAAUUCCCGGUGUAGCGGUGAAAUGCGUAGAGAUCGGGAGGAAUAACAGUGGCGAAGGCGGCCUUCUGGACUGACACUGACACUGAGGUGCGAAAGCGUGGGUAGCAAACAGGAUUAGAUACCCCUGUAGUC
rnacentral:rRNA from 1 species